rnacentral:rRNA from 1 species
GGGAAUAUUGCACAAUGGGCGAAAGGCCUGAUGCAGCAACGCCGCGUGAGUGAUGAAGGUCUUCGGAUUGUAAAGCUCUGUCUUUUGGGACGAUAAUGACGGUACCAAAGGAGGAAGCCACGGCUAACUACGUGCCAGCAGCCGCGGUAAUACGUAGGUGGCGAGCGUUGUCCGGAUUUACUGGGCGUAAAGGGUGCGUAGGCGGAUGUUUAAGUGAGAUGUGAAAUACCCGGGCUUAACUUGGGUGCUGCAUUUCAAACUGGAUAUCUAGAGUGCAGGAGAGGAGAAUGGGAUUCCUAGUGUAGCGGUGAAAUGCGUAGAGAUUAGGAAGAACACCAGUGGCGAAGGCGAUUCUCUGGACUGUAACUGACGCUGAGGCACGAAAGCGUGGGUAGCAAACAGGAUUAGAUACCCUGGUAGUCCACGCCGUAAACGAUGAGUACUAGGUGUAGGAGGUAUCGACCCCUUCUGUGCCGCAGUAAAACACAUUAAGUACUCCGCCUGGGAAGUACGAUCGCAAGAUUAAAACUCUAAAGUGAAUUGAC